rnacentral:lncRNA from 1 species
GUAGCCAACACCCUUGGCUGUGUGAAUUUUGGCUGAGAUGGUGAGGAGUGCUGCCACCCAAGUAUGAUUCCACCGCCAAAUCCAUCGAUGUUUCAUACUGAGAAUGGGCAUCUUGAGGUGCCAAUAUGUGAUUGUGUGACAGCAGACAGGAAAAUGACUGCAAAUGAGAAUACGGAGGCGAAGAGGGUUGGAGUAAGAGUUCCAGAUGUUUCGACAGCUUACUAGAAAGAAAUGGACUGACGGAAUGCUUCUUAAUUUUCCAGUUUCAUCAAAGAGGUUUACAGAUACAAAACAAAGAAAUGAAGAUGUGUAAGACAAUACCUACAUUCAUCCUGCUGCUUACAGGGUAUUUUGUUAAAAAUAUGCAUGUUCAUGCAACAGAUCCAACACUAUUAUUGCAAACUACUUCCAGUGUCACAGAAGCUUCUCACCAAGAAACAGCAACAGCUGAUUCAAAACCAGUAACAACCGGACCAGAAAAUGAGUCGAGUCCCGUUCCAGAAGAACGUUUGUCAUCUACAGUAGUGGCAGGAACCAGCAUUUCCCUUGUGAUCAUCUUGAUAUGUGUAAUUGCUUUUUUUUGGUUCAAAUGGAAAUCGUCUAAGGAAAGUUCAGCUGAAAUUAAUUCUGACCCCUCCAGUGAAGCUGUGGUGACCUUAAAAAAUACCAAGUUAUGAAAACCAAU